GUACGGCCGCAAGGCUGAAACUCAAAGGAAUUGACGGGGGCCCGCACAAGCGGUGGAGCAUGUGGUUUAAUUUGAAGCAACGCGAAGAACCUUACCCGGUCUUGACAUCCUUUGACAACCCUAGAGAUAGGGCUUUUCCUUUGGGAGCAGAGUGACAGGUGGUGCAUGGUUGUUGUCAGCUUGUGUUGUGAGAUGUUGGGUUAAGUUCCGCAACGAGGGCAACCCUUGAUUUUAGUUUCCAUCCUUAAAGUGGGCCCUUUAAGGUGGCUGCCGGGGGCAAACCGGAGGAAGGUGGGGAAGACGUCAAAUCCUCCUUCCCCUUUUGACCUGGGGUACACACGUGGUUCAAUGGACGGUUCAAAGAGGUGCAAGGCCGCGAGGGGGAGGUAAUUUCAUAAAACCGUUUUCAGUUUGGAUUGUUGGGUGCAACUUGCCUACAUGAAGCUGGAAUCGGUAGUAAUCGCGGAUCAGCAUGCCGCGGUGAAUACGUUCCCGGGCCU
rnacentral:rRNA from 1 species